UCCUACGGGGGGCAGCAGUGGGGAAUACUGCACAAUGGGGGAAACCCUGAUGCAGCGACGCCGCGUGAGUGAAGAAGUAUUUCGGUAUGUAAAGCUCUAUCAGCAGGGAAGAAGAAAGACGGUACCUGACUAAGAAGCCCCGGCUAACUACGUGCCAGCAGCCGCGGUAAUACGUAGGGGGCAAGCGUUAUCCGGAUUUACUGGGUGUAAAGGGAGCGUAGACGGCGAUGCAAGUCUGAAGUGAAAGGCGGGGGGCCAACCCCCGGAGUGCUUUGGAAACUGUAUAGGUGGAGUGCAGGAGAGGG
rnacentral:rRNA from 1 species